UAAUGGUGAUAAGUACAAAUUCUGAGCAUGCCCUUGAAUCUCUCCCAAGCUUGGUAGAGAUAUUGUCCAUCUUUCUAUCUGAAACUCAAUAUCUCACUCCUUAAUCA
rnacentral:snoRNA from 1 species